rnacentral:rRNA from 1 species
AUUGAACGCUGGCGGCAUGCCUUACACAUGCAAGUCGAGCGGCAGCGCGGGGGGCAACCCUGGCGGCGAGCGGCGAACGGGUGAGUAAUACAUCGGAACGUGCCCAGUAGUGGGGGAUAACCUCUCGAAAGAGAGGCUAAUACCGCAUACGACCUACGGGUGAAAGCGGGGGACCGCAAGGCCUCGCGCUAUUGGAGCGGCCGAUGUCGGAUUAGCUAGUUGGCGGGGUAAAGGCCCACCAAGGCGACGAUCCGUAGCUGGUCUGAGAGGACGACCAGCCACACUGGAACUGAGACACGGUCCAGACUCCUACGGGAGGCAGCAGUGGGGAAUUUUGGACUAUGGGCGCAAGCCUGAUCCAGCCAUGCCGCGUGAGUGAAGAAGGCCUCCGGGUUGUAAAGCUCUUUCGGCGGGGACGAAACGGUCCGUGCCAACACCACGGACUAAUGACGGUACCCGCAGAAGAAGCACCGGCUAACUACGUGCCAGCAGCCGCGGUAAUACGUAGGGUG